rnacentral:piRNA from 1 species
UAAAAGGGUAUUGUGUCGUGCUUUGCA